CGGGACGGGUGAGUAAUGUCUGGGAAACUGCCUGAUGAGGGGGAGUAACUACUGGAAACGGUAGCUAAUACCGCAUAACGUCGCAAGACCAAAGAGGGGGACCUUGGGCCUCUUGCCAUCGGAUGUGCCCAGAUGGGAUUAGCUAGUAGGUGGGGUAACGGCUCACCUAGGCGACGAUCCCUAGCUGGUCUGAGAGGAUGACCAGCCACACUGGAACUGAGACACGGUCCAG
rnacentral:rRNA from 1 species